rnacentral:rRNA from 1 species
GUAGGGAAUAUUGGUCAAUGGGUGAGAGCCUGAACCAGCCAUGCCGCGUGCAGGAAGACGGCCUUCUGGGUUGUAAACUGCUUUUGUCAGGGGAUAAAAUACCCGUGCGCGGGGAAUUGAAGGUACCUGAUGAAUAAGCCACGGCUAACUACGUGCCAGCAGCCGCGGUAAUACGUAGGUGGCAAGCGUUGUCCGGAUUUAUUGGGUUUAAAGGGUGCGUAGGCGGCUUUGUAAGUCAGUGGUGAAAGACGGCAGCUCAACUGUCGAGGUGCCAUUGAUACUGCAGAGCUAGAGUACUGAUGAGGUAGGCGGAAUGGACGGUGUAGCGGUGAAAUGCUUAGAUAUCGUCCAGAACACCGAUAGCGAAGGCAGCUUACUAAGGAGUAACUGACGCUGAGGCACGAAAGUGUGGGGAUCAAACAGGAUUAGAAACCCGUGUAGUCC